GAUAGAAAUGGAUUCAAAAGAUCAGAAUUUGGAUUCGGCACGGAUCAAACAAUCCAUUUUAAUCCAUUUUUAUUUGCUGAGAAUAGAAAUAUAUUGGACUUGUUCUGAGAAAGUAUGUGUCUGUCUAUUAAUUACAUAUAUUUGCUUUACGAAUUUCAGUUUCGAAGACAUUUCCGAUUGACCAAGGAUACGGCUUAUAAAUUAAUUGAGAAAUAUGAACAAUCAUCUUGCCCACCAUUAAAUAAUCAUGGAGGAAUUGAGAGAAAGUCGCCAGAAGAAGAUGUGCUGGUAUUCCUGUGGUUUGCUGAGUCAUGAAAUAUUUGACUGAAAUUGCGGGACAAGUCAUCAAAUUUCCAGAUGACUUAGACGAAGAAGCAAGAUCCUUUGAAGAGAUUGCGGGAUUCCCAGGUGUUAUAGGCUGUAUCGAUGGUUCGUAUAUAAAUAUAAGAACACCAGCUCAUAAAAUCGCAUCGACGUAUGCUAAUCGACACGACAAGACAUCUAUAACAUUGCAAGCAAUAUGUGAUGCAAAAAGAAAAUUCAUCGAUGUGUUCACUGGAGUUCCAGGCAAAGUUCACGAUGCCAGAGUCUUUAAAUUAAGCGAUGUCAAACAGAAGUUGCCACAAAU